rnacentral:rRNA from 1 species
UACGUAGGGGGCAAGCGUUGUUCGGAAUUACUGGGCGUAAAGGGCGCGUAGGCGGCCCGCUAAGUCGAACGUGAAAUCCCCGAGCUCAACUCGGGAACUGCGUCCGAUACUGGCGGGCUUGAAUCCGGGAGAGGGAUGCGGAAUUCCAGGUGUAACGGUGAAAUGCGUAGAUAUCUGGAGGAACACCGGUGGCGAAGGCGGCAUCCUGGACCGGCAUUGACGCUGAGGCGCGAAAGCUAGGGGAGCAAACGGG